UUUAGUUUGGUGAUAUUAGCCCGAGUGGGUUGAAUAUAUAGAGAGAAAAAAAGGGUGAUAAUUCGUUUUGGAAGAGAAAAAGCAAAAAAAGAAAGAUGCGUCUGCUGCUGUUUGUUGCUUUAUAUUUUCUACACGCGGAGAUAACUUUUUCUUUGCAGCUGAAUGCUGGGGUAGAGGUGCCAAUAUAUGUAGAAACUACGGAUCCUGUCACUUACGUAGAGGAAACAGAUGGCCCAAUUUACGUAGAACC